UACGUAGGGUGCGAGCGUUGUCCGGAAUUACUGGGCGUAAAGAGCUCGUAGGUGGUUUGUCGCGUUGUCCGUGUAAACUCACAACUCAAUUGUGGGCGUGCGGGCGAUACGGGCAGACUGGAGUACUGCAGGGGAGACUGGAAUUCCUGGUGUAGCGGUGGAAUGCGCAGAUAUCAGGAGGAACACCGGUGGCGAAGGCGGGUCUCUGGGCAGUAACUGACGCUGAGGAGCGAAAGCGUGGGGAGCGAACAGG
rnacentral:rRNA from 1 species